UACGGAGGGUGCAAACGUUGCUCGGAAUCAUUGGGCGUAAAGCGCACGUAGGCGGCCUGUUAAGUCGGGUGUGAAAUCCCUCGGCUCAACCGAGGAAGUGCAUUCGAAACUGGCAGGCUUGAAUAUGGAAGAGGGUCGCGGAAUUCCCGGUGUAGAGGUGAAAUUCGUAGAUAUCUGGAGGAACACCGGUGGCGAAGGCGGCAUCCUGGACCAAUACUGACACUGAGGAGCGAAAGCCAGGGGAGCAAACGGG
rnacentral:rRNA from 1 species